rnacentral:tRNA from 3 species
UGGCUGGGGUACCUGGAUUCGAACCAGGGAAUGCCGGUAUCAAAAACCGGUGCCUUACCGCUUGGCGAUACCCCA